rnacentral:rRNA from 1 species
GAUGAACGCUGGCGGCGUGCCUAAUACAUGCAAGUCGAACGCUGAAGGAGGAGCUUGCUCUUCUGGAUGAGUUGCGAACGGGUGAGUAACGCGUAGGUAACCUGCCUGGUAGCGGGGGAUAACUAUUGGAAACGAUAGCUAAUACCGCAUGACAACAGUUAUUGCAUGAUAACUGUUUAAAAGGGGCAACUGCUCCACUACCAGAUGGACCUGCGUUGUAUUAGCUAGUUGGUGAGGUAACGGCUCACCAAGGCGACGAUACAUAGCCGACCUGAGAGGGUGAUCGGCCACACUGGGACUGAGACACGGCCCAGACUCCUACGGGAGGCAGCAGUAGGGAAUCUUCGGCAAUGGACGGAAGUCUGGCCGAGCAACGCCGCGUGAGUGAAGAAGGUUUUCGGAUCGUAAAGCUCUGUUGUAAGAGAAGAACGAGUGUGAGAGUGGAAAGUUCACACUGUGACGGUAUCUUACCAGAAAGGGACGGCUAACUACGUG